ensembl:lncRNA
CUCUUUUAUCCACAGUCCUAUCUGUGAGGUAGGUAUUUACUUCGUUCUCAUUUUCCAGAUGAGGAAAUUGAGGCCCUGAAAGAUUAAGUUACACGUUAUACACAUUGGGGCAGAGAAGGUGGGAAAGAACCUGAACAGGGUGGGAAAUAAAAACCUGAAUUUUAUUUGGGUGGAUGUAGGCACAUGUGGAGAAGGCAAUGGCACCCCACUCCAGUACUCUUGCCUGGAAAAUCCCAUGGACGGAGGAGCCUGGUAGGCUGCAGUCCAUGGGGUCGCUAGGAGUGGGACACGACUGAGCGACUUCACUUUCACUUUUCACUUUCAUGCACUGGAGAAGGAAAUGGCAACCCACUCCAGUGUUCUUGCCUGGAGAAUCCCAGGGACAGGGGAGCCUGGUGGGCUGCCAUCUAUGGGGUCACACAGAGUCGGGCACGACUGAAGUGACUUGGCAUAGCAUAGCAUAGGCACAUGUACUUUUCUUUUUUCUUUUGUCUUAGACACCAGGCAUUUCAGUUAAUCAUCAUAUCUGGAGGUAACACCGCUGAUGCACUCACUGAAAGUUGUUUACAAUAAUCAAGAUGAAUUUAUUAUCUUUAGACAUUGCUAUGUUUUGAUUGGGCCUCAGUAUGGUCUAUGGAAGCAGGCUUGAGGAGAGGGGUUCAUUUUGUUUGUAGUUAAAGAUUCUGUCUGUCCUAAGGAUGGAAUCUGAUCUUCCUAAUUUCAUUAUAUUCUUCAAAACAGUUGGAGCUGAUUUUGAGUACUCGUUCCAAACUUUUGGAUAGUUUCUUUGGAAUAUAGCCCAAGAUUUAACAUUUCAUCUGAAUUUAAAAGAUUGUUCAUUUUUCUUUUUAAGGGGAAAGAAAAAUCGGAGCAAUUGGGAAUUCUGGUUUCAUCUCAUGGGUAGAAAAAUGAGCCAUUUACCUCAAGAAAAGUGAAACUUCUGAAUCCCGCUCUUCCAUAAUGAGAACUAGACGGUUUUCACUUGACAUCUACUUUGUGGUAGUGGGGAACCCCCUCUCCAGAGGUUUUUGAGAAGGAUUACUAAAAAGGGUUUUCUAGAUUCUGGGGAAAGAAGUUCAAGAGAGUCCAGCAACACUGUCAUUAGAAAAAUGGUCUUCAUCCAGUGCUAGUCUUAGAAUCCUGAAGCUUCAUUUUCAGCAGUUUGAAAGGCAGCAAAGUAGGAGAGGCUGUACAGGGGAGGAGAAACACUGAGGAGAGAUGUAGUACAGAGACCUUGAAGUCAGUGUGUUAAGACAAGAAAGAAGCAGAGACCUGCAUUCACUGAAUGAAAACCAAAGAAUGUGCAGUGUCUCAGGCUGACUGGUUCCCUGAUGUGUUACCUGCUUCUGCCACUGAUUGAAACUGCAGAACUUCUCAUUCGUCCCCAAGACUUCCAGUAGGGAAUCAGCUCUAAAAGAAACCAGACCAACGUUUGCCAGCCCCUGCAUUCUGCUACCUCUAUGUGAGGAAUGGAUAGAAUACGUUCAGGCCAUCAUCAUGCAAAGCUCCAGUAGCAGUGACGCCUACACGGAAGACUUGGAACUGCAAACAGAGGCCGGGGUCACCUCAGUGACAUCUGACGCUGUCCAACCAGAAGUUCGAUUUUUGUUUGGGGCGGGGGGUUGGG